rfam:Echinostoma caproni strain Egypt genome assembly, scaffold: ECPE_scaffold0022149
GGCCUCGUAGCUCAACUGGUAGAGUAUGCGUGUGCAAAGUGUAGGCGGCAUCAAUGCGUGGGUUCGAAUCCCAUCAAGGCUG